rnacentral:snRNA from 1 species
GGAUGUGGGGGCGAUCUGACUGCAAUGAUCAUCAUGGUUGAUUCAGCUGACCUGGCUGGCUAGGCAGGUGUCCCCUUCCUUCCUCCACUCCAGGUGCGUCCCUCCCUAAGCUGUGUGCUCAGUCAAAGAGGACGACCUUCCCCAAAUAAAGGAGGACCAGUCUUCAGCCAAGGGUAUACGAGUAGCUGUGCUUCCCUGCUAGAACCUCCAAACAAGCUCUCAAUAAUGUUGAACAGCACUGGACAUUGCAAGCCUUAGGAUUGGCCAGCUAGGCCAAGUGUGCCAACUGGUGCAAUAG